rnacentral:rRNA from 1 species
AUUGAACGCUGGCGGCAGGCUUAACACAUGCAAGUCGAGCGGGGUGAUGGUGCUUGCACUAUCACUUAGCGGCGGACGGGUGAGUAAUGCUUAGGAAUCUGCCUAUUAGUGGGGGACAACAUCUCGAAAGGGAUGCUAAUACCGCAUACGUCCUACGGGAGAAAGCAGGGGAUCACUUGUGACCUUGCGCUAAUAGAUGAGCCUAAGUCGGAUUAGCUAGUUGGUGGGGUAAAGGCCUACCAAGGCGACGAUCUGUCGCGGGUCUGAGAGGAUGAUCCGCCACACUGGGACUGAGACACGGCCCAGACUCCUACGGGAGGCAGCAGUGGGGAAUAUUGGACAAUGGGGGGAACCCUGAUCCAGCCAUGCCGCGUGUGUGAAGAAGGCCUUAUGGUUGUAAAGCACUUUAGCCUGGAAAGAAAAAACUUUGGUUAACACCCAAAGUCUUGACGGUACCAGGAGAAUAAGCACCGGCUAACUCUGUGCCAGCAGCCGCAGUAA